GAUGAACGCUGGCGGCGUGCCUAAUACAUGCAAGUCGAGCGAACAGACGAGGAGCUUGCUCCUCUGACGUUAGCGGCGGACGGGUGAGUAACACGUGGAUAACCUACCUAUCAGACUGGGAUAACUUCGGGAAACCGGAGCUAAUACCGGAUAAUAUAUUGAACCGCAUGGUUCAAUAGUGAAAGACGGUUUUGCUGUCACUUAUCGAUGGAUCCGCGCCGCAUUAGCUAGUUGGUAAGGUAACGGCUUACCAAGGCAACGAUGCGUAGCCGAACUGAGAGGGUGAUCGGCCACACUGGAACGGGGACACGGUCCAGAGUCCUACGGGAGGCAGCAGUAGGGAAUCUUACGCAAUGGGCGAAAGCCUGACGGAGCAACGCCGCGUGAGUGAUGAAGGUCUUCGGAUCGUAAAACUCUGUUAUUAGGGAAGAACAAAUGUGUAAGUAACUAUGCACGUCUUGACGGUACCUAAUCAGAAAGCCACGGCUAACUACGUG
rnacentral:rRNA from 1 species